UUCCAUUAAUUACUCUGGCUAUCCUACAGCCGUUCUUCACUGGCUAGUUUUAUGUCACUGUCAAACAGCUAAAGCUGCCAGUUGAAGAACUGUUGAGGUUGGCUAUUUGCGACAGGACACUGA
rnacentral:pre_miRNA from 17 species